rnacentral:rRNA from 1 species
UCGAACGGUAACAGGCCGCAAGGUGCUGACGAGUGGCGAACGGGUGAGUAAUGCAUCGGAACGUGCCCAGUCGUGGGGGAUAACGCAGCGAAAGCUGUGCUAAUACCGCAUACGAUCUAUGGAUGAAAGCGGGGGACCGUAAGGCCUCGCGCGAUUGGAGCGGCCGAUGUCAGAUUAGCUAGUUGGUGGGGUAAAGGCCCACCAAGGCGACGAUCUGUAGCUGGUCUGAGAGGACGACCAGCCACACUGGGACUGAGACACGGCCCAGACUCCUACGGGAGGCAGCAGUGGGGAAUUUUGGACAAUGGGCGCAAGCCUGAUCCAGCAAUGCCGCGUGCAGGAAGAAGGCCUUCGGGUUGUAAACUGCUUUUGUACGGAACGAAACGGUCCUGGUUAAUACCUGGGGCUAAUGACGGUACCGUAAGAAUAAGCACCGGCUAACUACGUGCCAGCAGCCGCGGUAAUACGUAGGGUGCAAGCGUUAAUCGGAAUUACUGGGCGUAAAGCGUGCGCAGGCGGUUUUGUAAGACAGGCGUGAAAUCCCCGGGCUCAACCUGGGAAUUGCGCUUGUGACUGCAAAGCUGGAGUGCGGCAGAGGGGGAUGGAAUUCCGCGUGUAGCAGUGAAAUGCGUAGAUAUGCGGAGGAACACCGAUGGCGAAGGCAAUCCCCUGGGCCUGCACUGACGCUCAUGCACGAAAG